rnacentral:rRNA from 1 species
GGGGUAGCAAUGUCACCGUCGUACGGGUGCGUAACGCGUAUGCAACCUACCUUUCACUGGGGGAUAGCCCGGGGAAACCCGGAUUAAUACCGCAUGACACAGUUUUGUCUCCUGGCAGGACUGUUAAAGAUUUAUCGGUGAGAGAUGGGCAUGCGUCUGAUUAGCUAGUUGGUGUGGGUAACGGCCCACCAAGGCGACGAUCAGUAGGGGAGCUGAGAGGUUGAUCCCCCACACGGGCACUGAGAUACGGGCCCGACUCCUACGGGAGGCAGCAGUAGGGAAUAUUGGGCAAUGGAUGAGAGUCUGACCCAGCCAUGCCGCGUGCCGGAUGAAGGCCCUCAGGGUUGUAAACGGCUUUUAUCCGGGAAGAAGAGCAAGGGUGCGCCCUUGUGUGACGGUACCGGAUGAAUAAGCACCGGCUAA